AGGCAGCAGUGGGGAAUAUUGGACAAUGGGCGCAAGCCUGAUCCAGCCAUGCCGCGUGUGUGAAGAAGGCCUUCGGGUUGUAAAGCACUUUUGUUGGGGAAGAAACCGACCGGGUUAAUACUUCGGUUGAAUGACGGUACCCAAAGAAUAAGCACCGGCUAACUUCGUGCCAGCAGCCGCGGUAAUACGAAGGGUGCAAGCGUUACUCGGAAUUACUGGGCGUAAAGCGUGCGUAGGCGGUUAGUUAAGUCUGUCGUGAAAGCCCCGGGCUCAACCUGGGAAUGGCGAUGGAUACUGGCUAGCUAGAGUGUGUCAGAGGAUGGUGGAAUUCCCGGUGUAGCGGUGAAAUGCGUAGAGAUCGGGAGGAACACCAGUGGCGAAGGCGGCCAUCUGGGACAACACUGACGCUGAGGCACGAAAGCGUGGGGAGCAAACAGGAUUAGAUACCCUGGUAG
rnacentral:rRNA from 1 species